GCCUUUCUAGUACAAUGCUAGUACGAGUGACUUCCAAUCACCUGGCCUUGGUUGAACUCCAAGGAAAGACA
rnacentral:tRNA from 1 species